CCUACGGGUGGCAGCAGUGAGGAAUAUUGGUCAAUGGACGAGAGUCUGAACCAGCCAAGUAGCGUGAAGGAUGACUGCCCUAUGGGUUGUAACCUUCUUUUAUAUGGGAAUAAAAUGUUUCACGUGUGGCAUUUUGUAUGUACCUUAUGAAUAAGGAUCGGCUAACUCCGUGCCAGCAGCCGCGGUAAUACGGAGGAUCCGAGCGUUAUCCGGAUUUAUUGGGUUUAAAGGGAGCGUAGGUGGAUUGUUAAGUCAGUUGUGAAAGGUUGCGGCUCAACCGUAGCAUUGCAGUUGAAACUGGCAGUCUUGAGUACAGUAGAGGUAGGCGGAAUUCGUGGUGUAGCGGUGAAAUGCUUAGAUAGCACGCAGAACUCCGAUUGCGAAGGCAGCUCACUGGACUGCAACUGACACUGAGGCACGAAAGUGUGGGUAUCAAACAGGAUUAGAUACCCUUGUAGUC
rnacentral:rRNA from 1 species